rnacentral:rRNA from 1 species
AUUGAACGCUGGCGGCAGGCCUAACACAUGCAAGUCGAGCGAGCGGCGGACGGGUGAGUAAUGUAUGGGGACUGCCCGAUAGAGGGGGAUAACUACUGGAAACGGUGGCUAAUACCGCAUACUAUCGGAUAACCCAUAUGGGAUUAGCUAGUAGGUGGGGUAAAGGCUCACCUAGGCGACGAUCUCUAGCUGGUCUGAGAGGAUGAUCAUCCACACUGGUCUUGAGACACUGCCCAGACUCCUACGGAGGCAGCAGUGGGGCAUAUUGCACAAUGGGCGCAAGCCUUAGCCAGCCAAGCCGCGGUUAUGAAGAAGGCCUUUGUAUUUUAAAGUACUUUCAGCGUGGAGGCGUUACCCGCACAAGAAGCACCGUCUAACUCCGUGCCAGCAGCCGCGGUAAUAC